ensembl:lncRNA
ACUUAGCCUUAUUGGCUAAUAUUAGACAUAAUUUAGUCGCGAGAGUGAAGAUUUAGUCGCAUAUGCGAGUGAUUUACUCGCAAUGUAGAGGGUUGGACUGCUAUGUUCAUUAUUAGAUCCAACAAUAUAACACCUCAAUCGCUUAGAAGUCAUUCUAAUCUGGUCCGCCGUCGAAACAAUGGUGGACUGAUGACAGCUCACUCAGAGCAGAUCUAAGCGCUGUAUUUCGGUCCAGUCGCUUCCAUUCAGCAGCAGUGCGGACACAAGACAGGUGUCAUCUUCCCUGACCAUGGAGGCAAAAGCAGGCCUGACCCAGGAACAACCAAGCAGCAGGGAUGAGAGGAGAAUGUAAAAUGAAAGCAGCUGUAUGCUGAGACGGAAACUUUGAGAGGAGAUGGCAAAAGGAGGGGGCGUUGAAUCUUCAUGAAUGAAAAGAGAAAAAGAAGAGCAGUGAGAAAUUAAGGUGUAUGUAAAUAAAUGGUGGUUGACUGUGCAAAAUAGUUUUUUGUUUU